rnacentral:rRNA from 1 species
CAAGCGACUGUUUACCAAAAACAUAGGUUUCUGCUAAGUCGCAAGACGAUGUAUAGGAGCUGACGCCUGCCCGGUGCUGGAAGGUUAAGGGGAUCUGUUAGAGCAAUCGAAGCAGUGAACUUAAGCCCCAGUAAACGGCGGCCGUAACUAUAACGGUCCUAAGGUAGCGAAAUUCCUUGUCGGGUAAGUUCCGACCCGCACGAAAGGCGUAACGAUUUGGGCACUGUCUCAACAACAGACUCGGUGAAAUUGUAAUUCCGGUGAAGAUGCCGGAUACCUGCGACAGGACGGAAAGACCCCAUGGAGCUUUACUGUAGCUUGACAUUGGGUCUUGGUACUACAUGUACAGGAUAGGUGGGAGGCUUUGAAACCAGGACGCCAGUUUUGGCGGAGCCAUCCUUGGGAUACCACCCUUGUAGUACUGGGACUCUAACCAUAGGCCAUGAAUCUGGUCUUGGGACACUGUCAGGUGGGCAGUUUGACUGGGGCGGUCGCCUCCCAAAAGGUAACGGAGGCGCUCAAAGGUUCUCUCAGUACGGUCGGAAAUCGUACGUAGAGUGUAAAGGCAAAAGAGAGCUUGAUUGCAAGACAUACAGGUCGAGCAAGGAUGAAAAUCGGACUUAGUGAUCCGGUGGUUCUGCGUGGAAGGGCCAUCGCUCAACGGAUAAAAGCUACCCUGGGGAUAACAGGCUUAUCUCCCCCAAGAGUCCACAUCGACGGGGAGGUUUGGCACCUCGAUGUCGGCUCAUCACAUCCUGGGGCUGUAGUAGGUCCCAAGGGUUGGGCUGUUCGCCCAUUAAAGUGGUACGCGAGCUGGGUUCAGAACGUCGUGAGACAGUUCGGUCCCUAUCCGUCGCAGGCGUAGGAAAUUUGAGAAGACCUGUCCUUAGUACGAGAGGACCGGGAUGGACGUACCUCUGGUGUACCAGUUGUCCU